rnacentral:lncRNA from 1 species
CCUGGUUUUCUGCAACUUUUAGGGUCUCCUUAGUGACAGGGAGACAAAGGGUAAGGGAAGGAAGAGGAGGUAGGGGAAAGGAACGAACGAACGAAGGAAUGAAGGAACAAAGGAACGAAGAAAAGAACAGAGGAACGACGGAAAGAAGGAAGGAAGGAACGAACGACUAACGAACGAACGAAAUGCUAAUUCUGCCUCUCUCAACCACCUUCCCUCUCCCAAGGGAAGAUAGACACGGUGCACACAAGUACAAACGUAAUGGUUACAAUGUACCACAAAGGAAUAUACAGAAUGUAACUGCAUCAGAAACAUCGGGACGCCAUGAAUACUCUAUAUCCUUCGUGAAGAUAAAACCAGCUCAUAGGGAUAGACCUACACCCUGGGCAGAGAUGGGUCUGAGAAGAAAUAAAUCUAUGAUACAGCGCUGAAAAGAGAACUGCGCGCGCAGCUAUCCGCCAUGGCACCAUGAAAACUUGGGGUGUUGGUUUUCCUUUCUGAGCUUCUCUCUCCAGAGAAAAUGUCUCAAUCAAAGAGUAGUGAUGGUGAAAAAGACUGGCCAGAAAAUAGAAGAAGCUUUUCCAUUGAGGGUAUCUGGCUGGACAAGGUAAAGGUGAGUAGGUGAGACUUGGCCUGCUUUCUGGCAACAAGUAUCUACUUAUGAUGGCUGUAGGAAGGUCAGUUCCCAAAUAGAAGAGUUGAAAGGAGUUCAACAGCCAUUUAGUUCUACCCCUCUCCCCAAAUGAAUUCCACUAGAACAUUCUUUCUGGUUAUAUUGGACAUUCUCCCUAAUAAAAAGUCCUUCUCUAUCCGGCCUCAGCUCCUGGACAGGCCACUUUGUCCUGAGUCUGACUCAGUUGUUCCUGCAAUGGCAGGUGAGGGUAGAGUGGCUCCAUCUUGGCCACUAUUGACCAGCAGGCUGUUUUAUGACAGACCUUUGUCAUGAGGGAGUUCCUCGGGGAGGAUAUAAGAUUUCUCUAUUGAUUCUUAUUGACUAAAACUAUGUUUGUAGUGCCAAAGUCUCCCCAUUUAGAUAUGACAGUCAGUGGGUAAAUUCCUCAUCCAGACCCACAUUUCUAUCUGACAAAAGGCCCAUGGUCUAGCCAGAGACAUCAGUGAAAACA